UCAUCUCCUGAUGAGAAGUUGAAAGGCGGCUUUUGCUGUCACUUACAGAUGGGCCUGCGGCGCAUUAGCUAGUUGGUAAGGUAACGGCUUACCAAGGCGACGAUGCGUAGCCGACCUGAGAGGGUGAUCGGCCACACUGGGACUGAGACACGGCCCAGACUCCUACGGGAGGCAGCAGUAGGGAAUCUUCCGCAAUGGACGAAAGUCUGACGGAGCAACGCCGCGUGAGUGAUGAAGGUUUUCGGAUCGUAAAACUCUGUUGUUAGGGAAGAACAAGUGCCAUAGUAACUGAUGGCACCUUGACGGUACCUAACCAGAAAGCCACGGCUAACUACGUGCCAGCAGCCGCGGUAAUACGUAGGUGGCAAGCGUUGUCCGGAAUUAUUGGGCGUAAAGCGCUCGCAGGCGGUUCUUUAAGUCUGAUGUGAAAUCUUACGGCUCAACCGUAAACGUGCAUUGGAAACUGGAGGAACUUGAGUGCAGAAGAG
rnacentral:rRNA from 1 species